GGAUUUGGCGCCAAAUCGUUGUCACUAUGGCGACGGGGAAAGAGCCGAGGAGUAGGAACCUUCCCUGGGUGGAAAAGUAUCGGCCCCAGACCCUGGAUGACCUUAUUUCGCAUCAGGACAUCCUCAAUACAAUUCAGCGGUUUAUCAGUGAAGACCGGUUCCCUCACAUGCUGUUCUAUGGGCCACCAGGAACUGGGAAAACAUCUACUAUUUUGGCCAGUGCCAAACGGCUGUAUAAGGACAAAGAGCUAAACUCAAUGGUUUUAGAGCUGAAUGCCUCUGAUGAUCGUGGUAUUGACAUAGUACGUGGACCUAUACUGAAUUUUGCCAGUACCAGAACCAUUUUCAAAAAAGGUUUCAAGCUUGUUAUCCUAGAUGAGGCAGAUGCCAUGACUCAAGAUGCUCAAAAUGCUCUCAGAAGGGUUAUUGAAAAAUUUACAGAAAACACCAGAUUUUGCCUGAUCUGUAACUACCUGUCAAAGAUCAUCCCUGCUUUACAGUCUCGAUGUACCAGGUUCCGAUUUGGACCGCUGUCACAAGAACAGAUGAUUCCAAGAUUGGAAUUUGUCAUCAAAGAAGAAAAUGUCAACAUAACUCCAGAUGGACUGAAAGCUAUUGUGACACUUUCCAAUGGUGACAUGCGUCGAUCUUUGAAUAUUUUGCAGAGCACAAAUAUGGCAUAUGAUAAAGUGACUGAAGAUACGGUGUACACCUGUACUGGUCAUCCACUAAAAUCAGACAUUGCAAACAUCCUUGACUGGAUGUUAAACAAAGACUUCACCACUGCAUACAGGAAUAUCAUGGAAUUAAAGACAUUAAAAGGUUUAGCCCUGCAUGACAUUCUGACUGAGAUUCACACUUUUGUGCACAGAGUUGAUUUACCACCUUCAGUUCGUAUUCAUUUAUUGAUCAAGAUGGCUGAUAUCGAGUACAGGCUGGCUUCAGGAACUAGUGAGAAAAUUCAACUGAGCUCGCUUAUUGCUGCAUUUCAAGUUGCCCGUGAUAUGGUUGUUGCUGAAGCCUAGCAAGAGCAUAACUUGGUGGGUCGUCAUCACACGGCGCAGAGCAUUGCGACAAAUGUGUUGCAGAGUUGGCAGCACCCUAGAUACUAUCCAGAAUUUAACAUGACCAUCUCUUGUCCUGGAAUAGUAGGGAAGGAAAAGUAACAAAGCAUGCUCGAGUUGGGAGUGACAGCACAACAAUAAAUCCAUUGGUUGUGGCCUUUUAAUAUAUGCAGUAGUUUACCUGGAGGGUGGUAGAGAGAGAAAAAAAAGUAGCAG